CGGGGGGGCCCUAAUACAUGCCAGUCGAACGAACUCUGGUAUUGAUUGGUGCUUGCAUCAUGAUUUACAUUUGAGUGAGUGGCGAACUGGUGAGUAACACGUGGGAAACCUGCCCAGAAGCGGGGGAUAACACCUGGAAACAGAUGCUAAUACCGCAUAACAACUUGGACCGCAUGGUCCGAGCUUGAAAGAUGGCUUCGGCUAUCACUUUUGGAUGGUCCCGCGGCGUAUUAGCUAGAUGGUGGGGUAACGGCUCACCAUGGCAAUGAUACGUAGCCGACCUGAGAGGGUAAUCGGCCACAUUGGGACUGAGACACGGCCCAAACUCCUACGGGAGGCAGCAGUAGGGAAUCUUCCACAAUGGACGAAAGUCUGAUGGAGCAACGCCGCGUGAGUGAAGAAGGGUUUCGGCUCGUAAAACUCUGUUGUUAAAGAAGAACAUAUCUGAGAGUAACUGUUCAGGUAUUGACGGUAUUUAACCAGAAAGCCACGGCUAACUACGUGCCAGCAGCCGCGGUAAUACGUAGGUGGCAAGCGUUGUCCGGAUUUAUUGGGCGUAAAGCGAGCGCAGGCGGUUUUUUAAGUCUGAUGUGAAAGCCUUCGGCUCAACCGAAGAAGUGCAUCGGAAACUGGGAAACUUGAGUGCAGAAGAGGACAGUGGAACUCCAUGUGUAGCGGUGAAAUGCGUAGAUAUAUGGAAGAACACCAGUGGCGAAGGCGGCUGUCUGGUCUGUAACUGACGCUGAGGCUCGAAAGUAUGGGUAGCAAACAGGAUUAGAUACCCUGGUAGUCCAUACCGUAAACGAUGAAUGCUAAGUGUUGGAGGGUUUCCGCCCUUCAGUGCUGCAGCUAACGCAUUAAGCAUUCCGCCUGGGGAGUACGGCCGCAAGGCUGAAACUCAAAGGAAUUGACGGGGGCCCGCACAAGCGGUGGAGCAUGUGGUUUAAUUCGAAGCUACGCGAAGAACCUUACCAGGUCUUGACAUACUAUGCAAAUCUAAGAGAUUAGACGUUCCCUUCGGGGACAUGGAUACAGGUGGUGCAUGGUUGUCGUCAGCUCGUGUCGUGAGAUGUUGGGUUAAGUCCCGCAACGAGCGCAACCCUUAUUAUCAGUUGCCAGCAUUAAGUUGGGCACUCUGGUGAGACUGCCGGUGACAAACCGGAGGAAGGUGGGGAUGACGUCAAAUCAUCAUGCCCCUUAUGACCUGGGCUACACACGUGCUACAAUGGAUGGUACAACGAGUUGCGAACUCGCGAGAGUAAGCUAAUCUCUUAAAGCCAUUCUCAGUUCGGAUUGUAGGCUGCAACUCGCCUACAUGAAGUCGGAAUCGCUAGUAAUCGCGGAUCAGCAUGCCGCGGUGAAUACGUUCCCGGGCCUUGUACACACCGCCCGUCACACCAUGAGAGUUUGUAACACCCAAAGUCGGUGGGGUAACCUUUUAGGAACCAGCCCGCCCUG
rnacentral:rRNA from 1 species